UNGAAAGUACUUUUGGUAUGCUUCGGGCUC
rnacentral:piRNA from 1 species